rnacentral:ncRNA from 2 species
UACGCUGCGGGUGCAGCUGGUUCGCCCCGUCAGCCGGACGGGAUGCGUCGUAAGAGGGAACCCGGUGGGAAUCCGGGACUGCCCCGCAGCGGUGAGCGGGAACGACCGCCGUCAUCAGCACUGGACCCGGGACGGGUCUGGGAAGCGACGGCCACUAGGUGUCCUCCCCCGUGAGGACGUGCCCGCGAGUCCGAAGACCUGCCCGUUGCCCGCACGCGGA